rnacentral:rRNA from 1 species
GACGAACGCUGGCGGCGUGCUUAACACAUGCAAGUCGAGCGGAAAGGCCCUUCGGGGUACUCGAGCGGCGAACGGGUGAGUAACACGUGAGUAACCUGCCCCAGACUUUGGGAUAACCCUCGGAAACGGGGGCUAAUACCGCAUACGACACAGCUUCGACUGGGGUCUGUGUGGAAAGUUUUUCGGUUUUGGAUGGGCUCGCGGCCUAUCAGCUUGUUGGUGGGGUGAUGGCCUACCAAGGCGACGACGGGUAGCCGGCCUGAGCGGGCGGCCGGCGACACUGGGACUAAGACACGGCGCAGUCUCCUACGGGGGGCAGCAGUCGGGAAUAUUGCACAAUGGGCGGAAGCCUGAUACAGCGACGCCGCGUGAGGGAUGACGGCCUUCGGGGUAUGUAACUCAGUCAGCAGGGACGAAGCGGAAGUGACGGUACCUGCAGAAUAAGCGCCGGCCAACUACGUG